AUUGAACGCUGGCGGCAGGCCUAACACAUGCAAGUCGAGCGAGCGGCGGACGGGUGAGAUAUGUUUGGGAAUCUGCCUGAUGGAGGGGGAUAACUUCUGGAAACGGUCGCAUAUACCGUAUACCAUCAGGAGCGCCCAGAUGGGUUUAGCUAGUAGGUGGGGUAAUGGCUCACCUAGGCGACGAUCCCCAGCUGGUCUGAGAGGAUGACCAGCCACACUGGAACUGAGACACGGUCCAGACUCCUACGGGAGGCAGCAGUGGGGAAUAUUGCACAAUGGGCGCAAGCCUGAUGCAGCCAUGCCGCGUGUGUGAAGAAGGCCUUCGGGUUGUAAAGCACUUUCAGCGAGGAGGCGUUACUCGCAGAAGAAGCACCGGCUAACUCCGUGCCAGCCGCCGCGGUAAUUC
rnacentral:rRNA from 1 species